GAAAUGGUGGUGGCACCGGCUAGGUGCCACGUGACAGAAAUGGUAGAGUUCGCCGGAUAGGUUCUAUUUCUGGAGAGAGAGAGAGGUAGAUUUUUAUGUUUAUUAUUAAGUUAGUUUCAGCUUCUGAUAGCAGGUUAUUAAGAGUUUACUUGAGGAGAGGAUUACGGAAUUUUAGUCUAUAGUGGAGGAAGUCUUUGAGAUUUUUUUUUUGACGUAACAGAUGUUUAUUUGAGGAUACUUGUAAGGAUAAAGUUUAUAGUGAUAAGUUGUUUUAAGUCGUUGAAUUUAUUGUAGAUUUAUAUCGGGGAUUAUUACGUGAGGAGAAUACGUUAUAAGUUAAAUGCUUAUUAGAGAUAAUGCAAGUGGUUUAAUUUAAUUGAAGUUCAUUUUAAGAUUGUAGGUUAAGAGAAUUAUAAUUUAAAAUAAAGUUUUUUGUCGUAAAUAGGAAUUAUUUUCAAGAGAAGUUUGUUUUGUUUUCGUGCGCGUAGGAGACGAGACGUACGAAUUAAAUCAGUCGAGGGAAGGAUAAACGUUAGAAAGGAAUUAAAGAGAAAACGAGAGUUUAUGUAAAAGAGAGUUAUAGAAUUUAUAGUGAUGUUUUGUUUUAAUUAGAAAAAUGUUGAGAGUUGUUUCAGAACGACACGUCAGUGGACGUGGCAGAGUGAACACGUGACUGGGAGGUGCUGAGACCUAGCGGAGAACGGAGGAACCGCAAGCGAGGGUUGGCGCACCUGAUGGAAUUCGGUGACGUCACGGGCUCAUACGGAGACGUGGACAGGCCGUGACCUUGUUUUGAUCAGCUGUACGGUAACUUAGCGAUAAGAAAAUAGACUAUUGGUUAAAUAAAUUUAAAUUUAAGUGUGUUUUAGGAGAAGAGGAACUUUCAGUAUAUUCCUUAAGAUGAGCUGAGCAGCAGUCCAGUUUACAAGAUGACAAGAGUUCGAGAGACAAGAUACAAGAUCACUGAAACAAGAGCCAAGACUGAAGAUUCAAGAGAAGAGAAAGCUGGCAGCCAUGGACUUACAAGUGGAGAUUAAUAAGGUCAUGUAAAGUUUUAUUUUUUUUAUGGAAGACAGUAACUGGAGUUUUUUUUUUGUUAUAAACAUUAUUUACAGAACUUUUUAGGUUAUAGUAAUGUAAUGGAACUAGUGAGUUGUGGUAGCUGUCAAAAAGAACUAAUACCUUAAGUUUAAUUUUUAAAGUUAAUUUUCUUAAUUUACAGAGGGAUUAGUAGUUUUUUUUUAAACCUUAUUUAGGUUGGAAUUUAAAUACAAUAGCUUAUUAUAAAUGUGUACGAACAGUUCAAGUUCACAGUACUGAUAGGUAGGUCAGAUGAUCUUAUUGAUUUUGAUGAUUUGUUGUUUUGAGUUGAUUUUUAAGUGUUGUGAAUUAGACAAUGAAAUAGUUCUGAAAACUUAAAUUAUUUCAAGCUAAGAAAUAGUAAAUUUAAUUGUAACUCGAAGGACACCAGAAUUUACUUUUUUUUGAAUUAGUAAUGUUUGAAAAUUUUAUACUUUACAAGAAAGGUUAUAAACAAACAGAUCGGAUGGAACAAGGAUGCAGUAAAUCACAAUUUCAUUUAGAAUUAUUGAUUAGCUUUUGAGGUUAUGAAGUAAAAGUAAUUAUAGUUUAAAAGUUUGAAUAAAAAAAAAUGUUUUUUUUUUAUUUGUUUGAAAUAGAAAGUUUAAAAGUUAAUUAGUCAUGAUCUAGGUGGGUGAUGGGGUGGGAAUUGGCCACUCUUUUUCCCUAUAACCUCCCUAACAUGGCCUUCUAUUACAACUAACAGAAAUAAAGAAGAAGAAAAAUGAAGAAUUAUUAGUUAGAAUGUUUCUUUCAUGAAGAUACCUGAUGAACUUUUACUGUUUGGAAGAAUAGAAGCAAGGUUAGUCAGAUAUUUUUACUCAGAAGAAGAAGAAGAUAAAGCAGUUUUAUGACUCGACAAGCCAGAGAUUGGUGUUUCCCCUCUGCGCUUCUAUUGACUACGUUGUUUACUCUCAUGGGAUAGCUGGUUCGGCACCAUGGAGAGAGAUUGGUGGGCAUUGUGGUUGCCCCCAGAAGAAAAGAAGAGUAGAAGAGGUUAUGGGUGGGUCAUGUGAAGUGACCUUCAACCCAGUUACUUCGUGGGGACUAUUUGCUGUAUAGAGAAGAUCAAGACUCAAGAGUUAGGGAAAAUCAUUGGAGGUCAUGUUUCCCUUCCUUAAGUUUUUCCUAUCAAAUUAUUUGCCUGAUUAGAUUAUGCUAAGGGUGGGAUACUUUAUGUUAGCAGUUGAAUUAAUUAAUUUUAUUUUUUUGUGUGUUUGCAUCCUUGCCCAUCGAUUGCAGUUUAGUAGUUAGUUUUGUAUUUGUCAGGCGUGAUGGUAAUGCCUGUUGAUGAUGUUUCAGAAUUGUAAUCUGUUCGUGAUGAGGAUGGCACAACUCCGAAGCAGAUGUGGGGAGAAGUUGUGAGCUGCCCUGGAAGCCAGUCCAGUAGCUGUUGGAGUUGAGUGGUGUUUGCUGAUGGCCAGCCCAGGGAGCUACUCUUCUCGACAACACUGACUUCGAGGAGUUGCACCAACCUUCACGAGAUAAGAGUUUAAUUAAUUGAAACACUGUAAGGACACUUAAUUUUUUUUUGAAGAACGAAAGAAGUAUGGUAAUAAACGGAAACCGAAAAAAAAAAA